rnacentral:rRNA from 1 species
CAGCAGCCACGGGAAUACGAAGGGGGCUAGCGUUGUUCGGAAUCACUGGGCGUAAAGGGUGCGUAGGCGGAUUCUUAAGUCAGGGGUGAAAUCCCGAGGCUCAACCUCGGAACUGCCUUUGAUACUGGGGAUCUUGAGUCCGGAAGAGGUGAGUGGAACUGCGAGUGUAGAGGUGAAAUUCGUAGAUAUUCGCAAGAACACCAGUGGCGAAGGCGGCUCACUGGUCCGGAACUGACGCUGAGGCACGACAGCGUGGGGAGCAAACAGGAUUAGAUACCCCAGUAGUCCCUGUCUCUUAUAC